UGGCGGACGGGUGAGUAACGCGUGAGGAACCUGCCUUUCAGUGGGGGACAACAGUUGGAAACGACUGCUAAUACCGCAUAAUGUAUUCUGACCGCAUGAUCGGAAUACCAAAGAUUUAUUGCUGAAAGAUGGCCUCGCGUCUGAUUAGAUAGUUGGUGAGGUAACGGCCCACCAAGUCGACGAUCAGUAGCCGGACUGAGAGGUUGAACGGCCACAUUGGGACUGAGAUACGGCCCAGACUCCUACGGGAGGCAGCAGUGGGGAAUAUUGGGCAAUGGGGGAAACCCUGACCCAGCAACGCCGCGUGAAGGAAGAAGGCUUUCGGGUUGUAAACUUCUUUUACCAGGGACGAAGGACGUGACGGUACCUGGAGAAAAAGCCACGGCUAACUACGUGCC
rnacentral:rRNA from 1 species